rnacentral:rRNA from 2 species
UAAGAAUUUAAAAGUCGAACAGACUUAUACAUUAAGAAUACUGCUUCUUAAAAUAAUCUUAAUUCAACAUCGAGGUCGCAAAAUAUAAUAUAGAUAUGAACUCCCCAUCAAAAUUACGCUGUUAUCCCUAAGGUAACUAAAUCUUAAUUCCUUAAUAAGGAUCUAAAUUUACACUAAUAAAUGAUAAAAAAAACUAAAGUUAAUAUUUAAUCACCACCCCAGCAAAUUAUAAAUUAAUUAUUAUUUAGUAUUCUUUAUAAACUAAAUAAUUAAAAUUUAUAUAAAGUUCUACAGGGUCUUAUCGUCCCAAUAAAUAAUUAAAGCAUUUUAACUUUAAAUUUAAAUUUUAAUGUAUUUAAGGAAUAAAAUAUAUAUCUCAUACAUCCAUUCAUACAAGCUUCCAAUUAAAAAACUAAUUACUAUGCUACCUUUGCACAGUCAAAAUACUGCAGCCAUUUAGAUAAUUAAACCAUAGGGCAGAAGGUACUUUUUAUAAAACCCA